GCUCCUGUGGUGUAGUCCGGCAACUGGUUACGCGCGGUUGACACGCAAGGUGCGGCAUUUGCUUCGCAAAGCCCCACGUGCUCGCUAAACGCUCGCAACCAGAUGGACAAACAAUCAUACUGGCCUCUCGCGCCGGUGACCCGAGUUCAAAUCUCGGCGGGAGCA
rnacentral:tRNA from 1 species